GACGAACGCUGGCGGCGUGCCUAAUACAUGCAAGUAGAACGCUGAAGGAGGAGCUUGCUCUUCUGGAUGAGUUGCGAACGGGUGAGUAACGCGUAGGUAACCUGCCUGGUAGCGGGGGAUAACUAUUGGAAACGAUAGCUAAUACCGCAUAACAGUAGAUGUUGCAUGACAUUUGCUUAAAAGGUGCAAUUGCACCACUACCAGAUGGACCUGCGUUGUAUUAGCUAGUUGGUGGGGUAACAGCUCACCAAGGCGACGAUACAUAGCCGACCUGAGAGGGUGAUCGGCCACACUGGGACUGAGACACGGCCCAGACUCCUACGGGAGGCAGCAGUAGGGAAUCUUCGGCAAUGGACGGAAGUCUGACCGAGCAACGCCGCGUGAGUGAAGAAGGUUGUCGGAUCGUAAAGCUCUGUUGUAAGAGAAGAACGAGUGUGAGAGUGGAAAGUUCACACUGUGACGGUAUCUUACCAGAAAGGGACGGCUAACUACGUG
rnacentral:rRNA from 1 species